UGUAUCUGAAGCCUGACGAGGAUGAGAACCUCCGGGGGCAAGAGGUUCGACCCGAGCGAAGCGAGAGAACGUUGCGUCAGCAACGGCCCGCAGGGCGAGCCAUCCUCUAUCGCCGGCAG
rnacentral:sRNA from 1 species